rnacentral:lncRNA from 1 species
GUGCUUUAUGCUGUUGGAUGUUGGAACCCAACGCAUGACCCUGGGUUUAGCCCUUUGGGAUUUCAUCUUAUUCAUUUCAUGCAAUCUGUCGAGAUAAUUUCCAGCCUGAUUUUGUGAGGCAUUGCUGUGGCAGGUCCUCCCAGGCUUGUGUCGGGCUGACGUAUGGAAUUUUCUCCAGCUCUGGAUGCUUUUCAUUCUGUGCCCUGUGCCAGAGUGUUCCACCGCAAACCUGGCAGAGGAGACGCACUGUCUGAAGCCAGACGCACCGCGCGCUUCCUUCUCCCCUCGCCUGUCUGCCUGGCGGAUGUCUUCCACUCACAAUGCAAAACCCUGGGAGCUUCGAGGAUGUGCCCUUUCUCCUCCAUCCUGAACUAAUGGAAAUCAAGGCUGAAGGCUGAGCCUGCCGGGGAGCCCACAAGAGCCCCUCAGUGCCACAGAGGCCUGGCCUGACUUUGGCAGGUCUCCAGCAGUGACCACAGAGUGCUAAAUAAUAAUAGGGUUGAAUUAUUUAUACAGAGGCCAAUGACUCAUGAGGCAUGGUCCACUUCUAGAAGAGUGCCAGGGUCCCAAGUCUAAGGUGAGUGGCCACCAGAGGGAGG